CCCUGUGAAGUGGGGUUGUGAUCCUCAGUGGACUUUUUGGCUUGGAUCACAGGGGCCUGGCACACAGUGGGCAACAGUGUGUGUGUGUGUGUCUGUCUGUCUGUCUGUCUCCAUGUCCUUCCUGGCCCUGUCCAGUCAUUGAGGAGAGUCUGCUACUGCCUGUCUACACGCCUCCACGGUGUGAGGGCACCGUGAGGAGGUCGCACACAGUCUGAGGGCCGACAGGAGAAAGACGGAGGUGGCGUCUUCUUGGCUGAGCUGGAAUCGUCCAGAGAAUGUCCCGCGUAUAUGCCACAUGUGUGAAAGUGUGUGUGUGUGUGUUGGCGUGAGUAUGUAUUGUGUUGGUGUGUGCAGGUUGUAUGCAUCUGUUCGUAAGUACACAUGUGCACACAUAUGUUAGCGUGUAUGUGUGCAUGCGUUCACAAGUGUGUGUGCAUGUGUUAUUGUGUACAAUGUGUUUGUGUAUACGUGUAUGUGUGCAUGUGUUAGUGCUUGCAUGUGUGUGUGUGUGUACGCAUGCACGCAUCCCUGUGCACAUCUAUGUGUGUGUGUGUGCUCGUGCGUGUGCCUUCGUGGGUAUAUAAAGUGGGCCAGGAGGAAGAGGAGAGAGGCAGCCGCUGGAUGUUUGGUUUCCUUCAAUGACCCAGUGACUCAGGAAAGUCCUCUGGCACAUAUCUCGGGAGCCAGGGAGCAGGACCUGACUCUGGUGGUCCUGAAAAGCCACGACAGAUGCUCGCGGCAGCCCCCGUGCUGGCAGCGGGGAGACAACACCCACCUCGGGGCCGGAGGAGACCAGAAGGCCGUCAGCGCGGAACAUCUGGGCACAUCUCAAAUGUGCGGCUUCCUGUAGGGUCGCCUUGGCCCGGAAACCACAGGAAUCUGCCCUCGCGCUGUGGGGGAGAGCGAGUUUCCAGACUCUGAGCACUUAUCACACGUCGUUUUGUGUGUCUGCCUCUGGGUGGCUUCCCCUGCACUGUCCCACGGCGUCACAGGGCCAGGGACACGGCUGGGGCCUGAUCCACGCUUGAACAGGGGUUGCCAGACUCUAUCCAAAACCUCACGGCGCUUUCCAAGUUCCAGCAUCGCCUGGCUGCUCCCGGCAGCUUCCAGUCUUGCAUUUCUCCUGCUGCCAGUGAUUCAGACCAAAGCCUUCCACGUGCCCCCUGCCUCCCCCGACCCCAUCAGCUGACUUCCCUUCUCACUGGUACCCGCGCCCGUUUCCUCCUCCCUCCACCCACAUACCCCCCCCCCAGGACCCGUUUACCUUCGGAAGCUGCUCCCCCCGGUUCCUCUUUUAGAGGCUACGAGCGUGCUGUGUGUUUGGCCUCUGGCUCACGGAGGACCAGAAAAACAAAAUUUAUCAUCUGACUGUCCUAUUUUUUUUUUUUCUUUCUUUCCAUUUUAUUUCCCCCUAAGAAUGAAGCCAGCACUUCACCGCCAUGCUCCGAGGGAGCAUCAGACAUGGCAGGCCACAGGCAAAAGCGUCUCCUCCUCCUUAGAGAGAAGGAAUGCAGCCGUUAACAAUAAAAAAAAAAAAAAUCCCUGGGAUUUAUGGAGGCCUUGGGCUUAUGAGCCGUCUCACAUCCGUUAGCCAGCGUGACACAGCCAUCCAGGGGGGCGAAGCUGGAGUCCCAGCUCCAUCUGAGAGACAGAGAAACUGGCUCCGGAGCACAGGUCCUGGGACCCGGCUAAGCCCCCAGCUGCCCAAGCUGGUGAAAUUUCCUUGCAUAUGUAUGUAUGAACCGGGCUGAUUUGCUCAAUGAAAACAUUAAAAAUACAUGGUUUGUU
rnacentral:lncRNA from 1 species